rnacentral:lncRNA from 1 species
ACCAAGAUGGGCCCAACGGACAUCUUGGGCCUUUGAUUGCGCCCUGAUCGGGGGCGCCCAACCCGAUAUGGUUGGUGGGCCCCUGUCACACUGCGCUAUAAAUAAAAGGGUGGGGGCCGGCGGCUCGGAUGACGUGUUUCACUAGAGCCGUACUCCCCACCGACAAAACCCUAACACCGAUCUGAGAGGGUGCGCAGCCAGUGACGGGAAGACACCGCCGUUCAUCGCCGUCGACAACCUCGCUGCAUCAACCUUCAUCAACGAACCUGAUGGCGGACGGAUCUACAUCCUCCAACACGCCUGCACUUCCCAAUGACGGUAACAAUCUAACUACUGUUCUGUUCUACAAAUUAGGAACCCGAAAUUACUCAAUAGAAUAUAGAUUACCCCACUGAUCUACUCCUAGAGAUCCUGUAAAUCUUAACAUUGGUACCGGAGCCAUAAUCUAGGUGUUGAUCUAGUUGGGAAAAGUUUUAAUCGAUGAAAAUGAAAAGAGGUCGAAUCUGUUUGGAUUCAUAGAUAAAACAACAGAAAAGAAAGCCAAAUGGCGACUGGAUUUACCCCUGCAAAACGGAAAAAGAAACAGCCGUCACGUCAAAUCAAAAAAAAAAAAUAGCAAUAGAAGCACUCACGUGCAGGUGCAGGGGCGAAGGCUCCUUUCUUUGCCGUUCGGCUGUCUGCUGGCCGCCGUUCGGCUGUCUGGUGGCCGUGCGCAGGCAGCGCCGCUGGGUGCAGACCGCCGCGUGAUUUUUUGUUUCCUCCCAGCGCUGGACAGAGGAUGGCGGCGCUCUUGGACCCGGCGUCCAUGCGUCUGCUGUCGAGGGCGUGUGAGCUGGAGCUCCGGGCGCACAAGGCCAUGGCGGCAUGCGCGAAGAUAGGGCCGAACGAGGCCUGCGUGUUCGGAGCCGCCAGCUGCGCCAAGAAAAACGCUAACAGAAAGAAGUGUGGCGGCUGGGAGAGGGAAAAGGAAGACAAUACGUAUAUGUACUAGUGCAAACCCUAAUCUGAGCGUGAUGGCUUUAUUGGGCCGAUUUCAGCCCAAUUAAAGGAAAGAAACAGUAAACGUUUUUUUUUCAGAAGCUAUUAUUUAAUUAUUGAUGUUCUAUCUCUAUUUAAAUUUGAACCAACGAGAUAAUUUGAUUAGAGAAUAGAAAAGAAUUUAUUUUAUGCUUCUGAAUAAAAGUGUUAUUAAUGUUUCCGCUGCGUAUUUAAAGUUAUUAUUUUUAUUAUUAAAUUCGAACCAACGGGAGAAUUUAAUUUUGAAAAAUAGAAAUGAUUUUCAUAUUAUUAUAGUAUUGUUAUUAUUCUGACCAACGUUGAUUAAUAGCAAUAUUAUAAUAUUAUAGUGCCUUUUGUUUUAUAUUAAUUCUAUUUCUGCCCAACGGUGAUGUAGAAUUGAUAUAAACUGGAUAAAUUGUAUGCUUAAAUUUUAUUGGAACUGAAGCGUGCAAUUAAUGUAAUUUGUUCUCACUUUACAUGAAUUGUAAUUUCAGGAGGAUACUCCUUGAUGGGGUUUAUUAAAGAUAUUCCACCCCUAAAAGGAGAUAAUUAUACAGAAUGGAAGAAAAAGAUUGACCUAGCCUUCGUUUUGGCUGAGGUGGACUGGGUAGUCACCACACCGUGUCCCACUGAGCCUGUGGCACCAGUGAGAGAGACAGAUGAGGCUGAGUCUGCUUGGCAGAACAGACAGAGGGACCAUGCUCCCAAACAGAUGGCUUAUGACCUUGAACAUAGAAAGUGGGUUAUUGCCAACAAAAAGUGCAUGGCAGUGCUAAAGAAUACAGUUGAGCCUUCUAUUGCGGGCUCAAUUCCAGAGUGUGACACUGUCACAGAAUACCUCGAUAGAAUAAAGGGUCAGUUCUAUGGCUCUUCAAAGACAUAUGCAACUCAGCUGAUAAAGCAGAUGAUGACAGAGAGGUAUUCUGGAGGAGGCAAUGGCACUGGCAUAAGAGAGCACAUACUAAAGAUGAGUCAUAUGAACUCAAAGCUUAAACCAAUGGAUUUGCAUGUUAAGGAUGAAUUCCUUGUCCAUUUGAUUUUUGCUUCACUGCCAAAAGAGUUCGACACCUUUGUUGUCAACUACAACAUUCAACCCGAGAAGUGGGAUCUUGAUCGUUGUAUGGCUAUGUGUGUGCAAGAAGAGGAGAGAAUAAAAGCCGCCAAUGGUGGCACUCUCCACUAUGUUAAAGAUAAUAAGAAAAGAAAUUUUAAUGCUAAUGCCAACUCUCCCGCAAAAGCAAAGGGAAAGGCUCCUCAGCACCAUCAGCCUCAACAGAAAAAGUUUAUGGUAAACAAAGAUCAAUGUCUCCACUGUAAGAAGACAGGACAUUACAAGAAAGACUGUCCUGAAUUCUUAAAGUCUAUCAUGGCAAAGAAUGGUGAGAACAUUAUUACGUUCAUUAAUGAAUCCCUAUAUGUACAAUAUUCAAAAUCUACUUGGUGGAUUGACUCAGGGGCAACCAUCCAUGUUGCUAAUUCUUUACAGGGAUUCCGUUCGACGAGGACUAUGCAAAGAAAAGAAAGACACAUUAAAGUUGCAAAUGGAGUGCAAGCAAAUGUUGAAGCUGUUGGCGACCUUCCUCUAGAGCUUGCUAAUGGCUUCAUACUUGUACUUAGAGAUGUUCUUUAUGUUCCCUCUUUACAGAGGAAUUUGAUUAGUGUCUCAUGUUUGGACAAUAAUGGUUUUGAUUGUCAUUUUGGAGAUGGCAAAUGUGAGAUAUUUCAUAAUAAAGAAAGUGUUGGUCUUGCUUUUCAAAAGGAAGAUCUUUAUUUGUUAUCGCUUCGUGAAAAUGUGAAUUCCGUGAGCGAUAUGAAUGCAAAUGUAUCCUCGUCACUGAAUGAAAACAGAAAACGAAAGAGAACUCAUGAUGAAUCAUCGAAAUUAUGGCACUGUCGUUUAGGCCAUAUUUCGAGGGGGAGAAUAGAGAGACUAGUUAAGAAUGAUAUUCUUCCUCCAUUAGAGUUCUCAGACUUAGAACAAUGCAGAGAAUGCAUUAAAGGAAAGUAUGCAAAGAAAAUUAAAAAGAACGCCAAACGAAGCACAGGAAUUCUACAGAUAAUCCACACAGAUAUAUGUGGCCCAUUUCCUAUGAAAAGUGUGGAUGGUUUUGACUCGUUCAUAACAUUCACAGAUGAUUACUCUCGUUUUGGCUACAUUUAUCCAAUCAAAGAAAGAACAGAAGCGUUGGAUAAAUUUAAGAUAUUUAAGGCUGAAGUUGAAAAUCAGCAUAGUUCAAAGAUUAAGGUAGUCCGGUCUGACCGUGGUGGAGAGUACUAUGGUCGGCAUACCCCAUAUGGCCAAGUUCCUGGACCUUUUGCAAGGUUCUUACAGGAAAAUGGUAUAGUAGCCCAGUACUCAACACCGGGCGAACCUCAGCAGAAUGGAGUAGCUGAAAGGCGUAACCGUACAUUGAUGGAUAUGGUGCGUAGUAUGAUGAGUUACUCUACCUUGCCAUUGAGUCUAUGGAUGGAGGCACUGAAAACCGCCAUUCAUAUUCUCAAUAGAGUACCAAGUAAGUCGGUGCCCAAAACACCGUAUGAGUUGUGGACAGGAAAAGUACCCUCACUAAACCACUUACGUGUGUGGGGGAGUCCUGCUGAGGCUAAAGUGUUUAACCCAAACAUUGGGAAACUAGAUCCCAAAACAGUAAGUUGCCAUUUCAUUGGCUAUCCAGAAAGAUCAAAAGGGUUUCGUUUCUACUGUCCAGAUAGAUAUACAAAGUUUGUAGAAACGAGACACGCUGUGUUCCUAGAGGAUGAAAUGAUGAGGGGGAGCAUGGUAAGUCGAAAAAUUGAUCUUGAGGAAAAGCGGGUAUAUGUGCCCACUCCAAUGUUUCAGGAACCAAUUUUUGAAUUACCUGUUCCUGUUGCACGAACAGUGCAAGACACUGUAGUGACAACACCUGUUGUUAGUUCUCCUGUGGCGAUAAUGAAUGGACAUGAGGAACCUGUCCUUCAGGAUCCUAUAGAAAAUGAUGUCACAAGUGAGGGGGAGCAACAACAGCCCCAGAUAGUAGAUGUGCCAAAUGUAGAGGCCCCAAGAAGGUCUCAAAGAAUUAAAAGAUCAGCUAUUCCUGAUGAUUAUGAGGUGUACAACACCGAAGGACUUCAAAUGGAGGGUGAUCCCACCUCAUUUGAAGAAGCCAUGAGAAGUGAGCACUCGUCAAAGUGGCUUAAAGCCAUGGAAGAUGAAAUGGAAUCAAUGAAUGCUAACAAAGUUUGGGAUUUAGAGACAAUUCCUAAAGGAGCCAAAACAGUAGGCUGUAAAUGGGUCUACAGAACAAAACUCGACUCCAAAGGGAAUAUUGAAAGACAUAAAGCACGACUUGUGGCAAAAGGCUUUACACAAAGAGAAGGGAUUGAUUACAAUGAGACAUUUUCUCCAGUCUCAUGUAAGGACUCCUUCAGAAUUAUAAUGGCAUUAGUGGCACACUAUGAUUUAGAGUUACAUCAGAUGGAUGUAAAGACAGCAUUCCUCAAUGGGGAUUUGGAAGAAAUUGUUUACAUGGCACAACCGAAAUGUUUUGUUGUGAAAGAAAAAGAAGGCAUGGGAUGCCGCCUAAAGAAAUCAAUUUAUGGUUUAAAACAAGCUUCAAGACAGUGGUACUUGAAGUUUGAUAGAACAAUAAAGGAUUUUGGGUUUAAAGAGAAUGUUGAGGACAACUGUGUAUAUGCAAAGUUUAAGAAUGGAAAGCACAUCUUCCUAAUCCUAUAUGUGGAUGAUAUCUUACUUGCUAGUAGUGAUGUCAGUCUACUGCUGGAGACAAAGAAGUUUUUGUCCUCAAAAUUUGACAUGAAAGAUCUUGGUGAAGCGUCUUUUGUUUUGGGCAUAGAGAUUCACCGAGAUAGAACAAAAGGGGUAUUGGGACUGUCCCAAAAGUUAUACAUAGAAAAGAUUUUAAAGAGAUUCAAUAUGCACAAAUGUAGUGCAUCACCUGCACCAAUAGUCAAGGGCGACAAAUAUGGGGAUUUUCAAUGCCCUAGGAACCAGUACGAGCUCGACCAAAUGAAAGUGGUUCCAUAUGCUUCUGCUGUCGGAAGCCUGCAGUAUGCUCAAGUGUGUACACGCCCUGACUUAGCUUUUGUUACCGGGUUGCUUGGCAGAUUUCAAUGUAAUCCAGGGAUUGAGCACUGGAAAUUGGUAAAGAAAGUCUUGCGGUAUUUGCAAGGCACGAAAGGCCUCAUGAUGACGUAUAGAAGAACAGAUUCACUCCAAAUAGUGGGGUACACAGAUUCUGAUUAUGCGGGAGAUGAUAGAAAAUCCACAUCGGGAUAUGUGUUCACUCUCGCAGGUGGAGCUAUUUCAUGGAAAAGCUCGAAACAAACCGUCACUACAUCGUCCACAGAGUAUGCCGAGUUUGUAGCGUGUUUUGAGGCUUCGGGGCAGGUGAACUGGUUAAAGAAGUUCAUACCCGGUUUAAAGGUGGUCGACAGCAUACAUAAACCACUAAAGUUAUACUGCGAUAAUGCUCCAGCAGUACAGUAUGCUCACAACAAUAGGUCAAGUGGUGCUGCCAAACACAUUGACAUAAAGUACUACGUUGUGAAGGAUAAAGUCCGGGAUCAAAUAAUAAGUCUUGAGCAUAUAAGAAGUGAAAAGAUGCUCGCGGAUCCGCUUACAAAAGGCUUACCACCCAAAGUGUUCAAAGAACAUGUAGCCGGCAUGGGUUUAAGGGAAAGCCUAUGAUUCCUGGACUAUAAAUAGGGCCUAAAGUUAAAGUAACUGUUUCAGAUCAGAGAUGUGUAUUGUAGCUGUCAAAUCUAUCGACGAUUGAUCGUGACGAUGAAACAUGCUCUAUGCACUUAUCUGUGAUGGAACGAGUAAAGUGAAAAGUGUUGAAGUUAAAGUUUAAAGUUUAAAGUGAACGAUGAGAUCAAGGGGGAGAAUGUUGGAUUGAUCUCCACCAAGAUGGGCCCAACGGACAUCUUGGGCCUUUGAUUGCGCCCUGAUCGGGGGCGCCCAACCCGAUAUGGUUGGUGGGCCCCUGUCACACUGCGCUAUAAAUAAAAGGGUGGGGGCCGGCGGCUCGGAUGACGUGUUUCACUAGAGCCGUACUCCCCACCGACAAAACCCUAACACCGAUCUGAGAGGGUGCGCAGCCAGUGACGGGAAGACACCGCCGUUCAUCGCCGUCGACAACCUCGCUGCAUCAACCUUCAUCAACGAACCUGAUGGCGGACGGAUCUACAUCCUCCAACACGCCUGCACUUCCCAAUGACGGUAACAAUCUAACUACUGUUCUGUUCUACAAAUUAGGAACCCGAAAU